GAGUCUCGCACAGAUGCAUAUCAAUAAGCGGAGGAAAAGAAACUAACAAGGAUUCCCCUAGUAACGGCGAGUGAAGCGGGAAGAGCUCAAAUUUGAAAUCUUAAAGGGUUUCCCUUUACGAAUUGUAGUUUAAAGAAGUGUUUUCUGUUGAGGUUUUGGUAAAAGUUCUUUGGAAUAGGACAUCAUAGAGGGUGAGAAUCCCGUAUUUGACCUUUACUUUCAACUUUGUGAUACACUUUCAAAGAGUCGGAUUGUUUGGGAAUGCAGUCCAAAAUGGGUGGUAAAUUUCAUCUAAAGCUAAAUAUUGGCGAGAGACCGAUAGCGAACAAGUACCGUGAGGGAAAGAUGAAAAGAACUUUGAAAAGAAAGUUAAACAGUACGUGAAAUUGUCAAAAGGGAAGCGUUUGACACCAGUGUUGUUUUUCUGAAAAUCAAUUAAAGAACUGUUUAUGCUAAGUUGUUUAGACUUUAUCAGCUAUCUGUUUAGUUUUGAGCUUUUCUUUAAUGCACUUUUCAGUUAACAAGUCAACAUCAAUUUCUUUUGCUGUAAAAAAGCUUGAGGAAGGUGGCUUGAGAUUCGUCUUAAGUGUUUAUAGCCUCUUGCCUAUGCAGUCGGAGAGAUUGAGGUCUGCAGCGUAGAUCCUUCGGGGCUAAAUGCAUUUGUGCUAAGUUAUAGCAUUUCAUAGACAACUUGUUGACUAUGAUUUGUCUUGUAGCUUACUCGCUUAUGUUAUUUUACCUACGCUUAGGAUGUUGACAGCAGUAUAGACUGU
rnacentral:rRNA from 1 species